GUGAGAUUGGUAUAGUGGUUAUUACUCCACGUUGUGGUCAUUGAUCUUGAUUAUGUAAAACCGUGGUAACCCGUGUUCGAUUCACGGAUCUCACA